GAUGAACGCUAGCGGCAGGCCUAAUACAUGCAAGACGAACGGUAAGUUGAGUAGCAAUACUUAGCCAAGAGUGUCGUACGGGUGCGUAACACGUAUGCAACCUACCCUAUACAGGAGGAUAGCCUAGGGAAACCUGGAUUAACCCUUCAUAGUAUUAUUGGAUGGCAUCAUUUGAUAAUUAAAACUGAGGUGGUAUAGGAUGGGCAUGCGUCUGAUUAGUUAGUUGGCGGGGUAAUGGCCCACCAAGACGAUGAUCAGUAGGGGUUCUGAGAGGAAGAUCCCCCACACUGGCACUGAGAUACGGGCCAGACUCCUACGGGAGCAGCAGUAGGGAAUAUUGGUCAAUGGAUGCAAGUCUGAACCAGCCAUGCCGCGUGCAGGAAGAAGGCCUUCUGGGUUGUAAACUGCUUUUGCCAGGGGAUAAAAUUUCCAUGCGUGGAAAACUGAAGGUACCUGGGUGAAUAAGCCACGGCUAACUACGUGCCAGCAGCCGCGGUAAU
rnacentral:rRNA from 1 species